AGAGAAGCCUUCCCUGACCACCUCUCCAACACAGCGGGCCCAUCCCAUCCAUCUCUCUGCGCCCUGGUCGAGCUUUCCUGUGGCUCUGACCAUGACCUGAUAUUACACUUUGGCUUGUCUGCUUCCCUCAUUGGCACAGCCUGCCAUGGGGGCAUGAACCUCACGUGUCAGAUCCGGAGUAGGAUGAGUUCGCUCUGUUUUUCUUCACCCUUGCCUUCCAUUCUGGGAGGGAAGAUCCACCUCAACAGGGUGGGCUCCUCUCACGAGCCCACCUCCGGCGGCCCCCUCCCUCGGACCUUGCCAAGACACCGAGACGAGCUCCAGGACAGGACUCUCCACUUGCCUUCUGGACUGACAUCCACACACUGGCCCACAUUUCAUCCCUCAGUUGCAAGGGGAUCCGGACAUCCCCUCCUGGUCUCGAGCAGCAGUCCUCUGACCCAGCUCUGCCCAGCCUCCUUGGACCCGCCGUUGAGGAUUAGAGGUGCCCAGGGCUCCAGGCCCCGACUCUUGCCACCUCUAAGGAGCCCAGGGUAACUCUCACAGUGGCAGGUACAAGACCACCAGAUUCCAGACCUUUGGCUACAUGACCACAGGACUCAGCUACAGGCUAAAAAUAAACCAUCCCUUCAGAGAAUUCUUCAUUGGCGGGGUGUAAGCAAGACCCCGUCAGAACGGGAGGACACUGGUUCUUCCCAAGGGCCAGUCACCCUCUCGUUUUCCCUCUAAUAAAU
ensembl:lncRNA